rnacentral:rRNA from 1 species
GAUGAACGCUAGCUACAGGCUUAACACAUGCAAGUCGAGGGGUAACGAGAGGAAAGCUUGCUUUCCUUGUUGACGACCGGCGCACGGGUGAGUAACGCGUAUCCAACCUGCCCCCAACUAGGGAAUAACCUUGCGAAAGUAAGACUAAUACCCUAUAAUUUCCUCAGAUGUCAUCUGACGAGGAAUAAAGAUUUAUCGGUUGUGGAUGGGGAUGCGUCUGAUUAGCUUGUUGGCGGGGUAACGGCCCACCAAGGCAACGAUCAGUAGGGGUCCUGAGAGGAAGGGCCCCCACAUGGGAACUGAGACACGGUCCAAACUCCUACGGGAGGCAGCAGUGAGGAAUAUUGGUCAAUGGGCGGAAGCCUGAACCAGCCAAGUAGCGUGCAGGAUGACGGCCCUAUGGGUUGUAAACUGCUUUUAUACAGGAAUAAAGUUAGCCACGUGUGGUUAUUUGUAGGUACUGUAUGAAUAAGGACCGGCUAAUUCCGUGCCAGCCGCCGCCGUAA